rnacentral:SRP_RNA from 1 species
GCUGGGCAUGGUGGUGUGUGCCUGUAGUCUCAGCUACUCGGGAGGCUGAGGUGGGAGAAUCGCUUUAACCUGGGAGGCAGAGGUUGCAGUGAGCUGAGAUCACGCCACUGCACUCUUGCCUGGGUAACAGAGUGAGAUUCUAUCUCAA